CAGCAGCCGCGGUAAUACGUAGGGGGCGAGCGUUAUCCGGAUUUAUUGGGCGUAAAGCGCGCGUAGGCGGCUUGUUAAGUCAGGUGUGAAAGCCGGGGGCUCAACCCGCGGACUGCAUCUGAAACUGGCAGGCUUGAGUCUGGUAGAGGAAAGUGGAAUUGCUAGUGUAGCGGUGAAAUGCGCAGAUAUUAGCAGGAACACCAGUGGCGAAGGCGGCUUUCUGGGCCACGACUGACGCUAAGGCGCGAAAGCUAGGGGAGCAAACAGGAUUAGAUACCCUGGUAGUCCUAGCUGUAAACGAUGGGCACUAGGUGUGGGGGAUCAUCGACGUCUUCCGUGCCGCAGCUAACGCAUUAAGUGCCCCGCCUGGGGAGUACGGCCGCAAGGCUAAAACUCAAAGGAAUUGACGGGGGCCCGCACAAGCAGCGGAGCAUGUGGCUUAAUUCGACGCAACGCGAAGAACCUUACCAGGUCUUGACAUGCAGGGAAAAGCGGCGGAAACGUCGUGUCCGAGAGGGCUCUGCACAGGUGGUGCAUGGCUGUCGUCAGCUCGUGUCGUGAGAUGUUGGGUUAUGUCCCGCAACGAGCGCCACCCCUGUCCCAUGUUGCCAGCAUUUGGUUGGGGACUCUUGGGAGACUGCCGGCGACAAGCCGGAGGAAGGUGGGGAUGACGUCAAGUCAUCAUGCCCCUUAUGACCUGGGCUGCACACGUGCUACAAUGGUCGGCUACAAUGGGCUGCGAAGGGGUGACCCGGAGCGAAUCCCAUAAAACCGGCCCCAGUUCGGAUCGAAGGCUGCAACUCGCCUUCGUGAAGUCGGAGUUGCUAGUAAUCGCGGAUCAG
rnacentral:rRNA from 1 species